GCGACGGCAUCUCCUCCACGCCUCUUCGUUCGUGGGAGCAAGCUUGUACUUGUCCGUGGUCGGGUUUUCCUGUGUUGCAUACCUAUUUCGAGGGUAUUCGGUUGGCUAUAGUGGUCCCACUCCGCCUUGUGUCGGUGCUCCGUGCGGGCAUUGGGCACGGGGUGGAUCUCACGGCUUGCGUUGUGUUUCGCGCCGCAUUCAUCUAUCUAAAUAGGUGUUUGGGUAGGCGACCCAUGACGUGAUGCGCGUUGUCUCGGGUANGGAACAUCGGGUUGGNUCNAGGCAUUGUCCNUUGAUCUCCACACAAAUGCGUUCUACGCUUUAUGCGAACGACGGCUGCACACGACCUCCGGCCGAGCACUCGCUGCUCGGGCGAAGUCGUGUUGGCGUCAAUGAGGGAUGC
rnacentral:misc_RNA from 1 species